CAUUCACGGAGAGUUUGAUCCUGGCUCAGGACGAACGCUGGCGGCGUGCUUAACACAUGCAAGUCGAACGAUGAAGCCCUUCGGGGUGGAUUAGUGGCGAACGGGUGAGUAACACGUGGGCAAUCUGCCCUGCACUCUGGGACAAGCCCUGGAAACGGGGUCUAAUACCGGAUAUGACCUUCGAGCGCAUGCUUGAAGGUGGAAAGCUCCGGCGGUGCAGGAUGAGCCCGCGGCCUAUCAGCUUGUUGGUGGGGUGAUGGCCUACCAAGGCGACGACGGGUAGCCGGCCUGAGAGGGCGACCGGCCACACUGGGACUGAGACAC
rnacentral:rRNA from 1 species